rnacentral:rRNA from 1 species
AGUAAAUAGAUACCCGGGUAGUCCACGCCGUAAACGAUGAGUACUAGGUGUAGGAGGUAUCGACUCCUUCUGUGCCGCAGUUAAACACAAUAAGUACUCCGCCUGGGAAGUACGGUCGCAAGAUUAAAACUCAAAGGAAUUGACGGGGGCCCGGCACAAGCAGCGGAGCAUGUGGUUUAAAUUCGAAGCAACGCGAAGAACCUUACCUAGACUUGACAUCUCCUGAAUAGUGUAGAGAUACAUGAAGCCCUUCGGGGCGAGGAAGACAGGUGGUGCAUGGUUGUCGUCAGCUCGUGUCGUGAGAUGUU